rnacentral:lncRNA from 1 species
CAUACUUUGGUAUUGUUAUUUUCUCUUUUGUUGUUGUGCUGCAUUUCCAGCGUAGUCGUAACUGCAGUCCCGUUAGAGGCUGUUCAGGGCGCGGUGUGCGACUGGAGGUGUGGUGAUUGUUUAGGUCCAUGGGGACCUGGUUUUAGUGGUAUAUGAUUACCUUGUUGAGUUGACCAAUGAUGGUCUGUUAUGAAAGUGGCAAAUGGUUGCCAAUGUUGACUUAUAACCGAGUAUUUAUGUGCCCUUGUAUGUGUGUGUAUAAUGAACAGUCUAAGAUACUUUUGUUUUUUUUUAUCAUUAGUUGUUGAUUGAGGCAUUCUUUCAAAUUGUUUACUCUGUGUGGUGAUGCACUCUGGAAAUCCACUUGAUGGAUAUGCGUACUGAAGUCUUAUGUAGAGUCACAAGUAGAGCUCAUGUAGAGUCACAAGUAGAGCUCAUGUAGAGUCACAAGUAGAGCUCAUGUAGAGUCACAAGUAGAGCUCAUGUAGAGUCACAAGUAGAGCUCAUGUAGAGUCACAAGUAGAGCUCAUGUAGAGUCACAAGUAGAGCUCAUGUAGAGUCACAAGUAGAGCUCAUGUAGAGUCACAAGUAGAGCUCAUGUAGAGUCACAAGUAGAGCUCAUGUAGAGUCACAAAUAGAGCUCGGACGAGUCCUUUAUAGAGUCUCAUGUCAGGUCAGGAAUGACCGAGCGAACUUGGAUACUGUGCUGUGGUAUAUUGUUUCAGAUUAACACACGAGGACGUGUGUCACGCAGGAUGGCCGUGUCGGCGUUAGUUAUGAAUUAAGAAGAGAAAUUGAUCAAAUCGGAAAAUAAAAUGAAGUUACAUCACUUCCGUUAUGAAGUUGCAACGCUCCGACGAAAGGUGGCGUACGGCCAGAGCUGCGUGAAGUCGAGGGAGUCACUACACAGUCGUCGUGUCGAGCGGACGUGUACUGCCGUUCUAGUCGGGCAGUCUACCGCGAACCAUCGUCAUGAGCGGACGUGUCGAAUGUCGAAUUACGAGGAGUGCUAUAGUCGCUCACCUAUAACUUGUAGGGACAUCAAGAAAGUGUGAUCGGAAAAGAGCACAUGUCCCGAUGAUUCGGUCCGAAUAUAGGAACCAUGGGUGGUGGAGGGCAAGUAGAGGGCGAGUAGCCCCUUCGCGCUAACGUCCUUAUGCGCGCUAGAUAACGAGAGACUGUGUAACCGUUACGAAUACCGUGACGUUGCCGUGAGUGUGUACCUUAUGCUGUGACUUUAUUUAAUCGUGAUACAAAAACUAUGUGGAAGUAAAUAAAAUGAUUGUGAUACUGA